AUUCCGUGGUGAGGACACUUCCUAAGAAGGUCCUUAAAUCUCUCCCAUGCAUCCAAUACCACUUCAUCUUCUUCUUGGCGAAACGCCAUAAAUUUCAUUUCUAAUAUU